rnacentral:rRNA from 1 species
UGUAUGGUUAAGUGACUAAGCGUACACGGUGGAUGCCUGGGCAGUCAGAGGCGAUGAAGGACGUACUAACUUGCGAUAAGCGCAGAUAAGGCAGUAAGAGCCGUUUGAGUCUGCGAUUUCCGAAUGGGGAAACCCAACUGCAUAAGCAGUUACUGUUAACUGAAUACAUAGGUUAACAGAGCAAACCGGGGGAACUGAAACAUCUAAGUACCCCGAGGAGAAGAAAUCAACCGAGAUUCCGGUAGUAGCGGCGAGCGAACCUGGAUUAGCCCUUAAGCACUCGGUGAAGUAGGUGAACAAGCUGGAAAGCUUGGCGAUACAGGGUGAUAGCCCCGUAACCGACGCUUCAUCGAGCGUGAAAUCGAGUAGGGCGGGACACGUGAUAUCCUGUCUGAAUAUGGGGGGACCAUCCUCCAAGGCUAAAUACUCCUGACUGACCGAUAGUGAACCAGUACCGUGAGGGAAAGGCGAAAAGAACCCCUGUGAGGGGAGUGAAAUAGAACCUGAAACCGUGUACGUACAAGCAGUAGGAGCACCUUCGUGGUGUGACUGCGUACCUUUUGUAUAAUGGGUCAGCGACUUAUAUUCAGUGGCAAGGUUAACCGUAUAGGGGAGCCGUAGCGAAAGCGAGUCUUAACUGGGCGCUCAGUCUCUGGAUAUAGACCCGAAACCGGGUGAUCUAGCCAUGGGCAGGUUGAAGGUUGAGUAACAUCAACUGGAGGACCGAACCGACUAAUGUUGAAAAAUUAGCGGAUGACUUGUGGCUAGGGGUGAAAGGCCAAUCAAACUCGGAGAUAGCUGGUUCUCCCCGAAAGCUAUUUAGGUAGCGCCUCGGACGAAUACUACUGGGGGUAGAGCACUGUUAAGGCUAGGGGGUCAUCCCGACUUACCAACCCUUUGCAAACUCCGAAUACCAGUAAGUACUAUCCGGGAGACACACGGCGGGUGCUAACGUCCGUCGUGGAGAGGGAAACAACCCAGACCGCCAGCUAAGGUCCCAAAGUAUUGCUAAGUGGGAAACGAUGUGGGAAGGCUCAGACAGCUAGGAUGUUGGCUUAGAAGCAGCCAUCAUUUAAAGAAAGCGUAAUAGCUCACUAGUCGAGUCGGCCUGCGCGGAAGAUGUAACGGGGCUAAGCAAUACACCGAAGCUGCGGCAAUGAAGUUUACUUCAUUGGGUAGGGGAGCGUUCUGUAAGCCGUUGAAGGUGAAUCGUAAGGUUUGCUGGAGGUAUCAGAAGUGCGAAUGCUGAC